UACAGAGGGGGCAAGCGUUGUUCGGAAUUACUGGGCGUAAAGGGCGCGUAGGCGGCCUGCUAAGUCGAACGUGAAAUCCCCGAGCUCAACUCGGGAACUGCGUCCGAUACUGGCAGGCUUGAAUCCGGGAGAGGGAUGCGGAAUUCCAGGUGUAGCGGUGAAAUGCGUUAGAUAUCUGGAGGAACACCGGUGGCGAAGGCGGCAUCCUGGACCGGCAUUGACGCUGAGGAGCGAAAGCCAGGGGAGCAAAGCGGG
rnacentral:rRNA from 1 species